AAUUAAUCCUCCAAUAAUUCAAUAAUUAUUUUAAUACAAUUUUUGCUUCGGAUAAUUUGUCAAUCGAAUUGACUAAAUUAUCCCUGAAUGAUUCUUAAUCAUCAAUCAGCCAUUUGAUCAACCUAGAAACUUCUAUGCGUGUGACCCCAUAGGUUCGAACCUAAGCCGAUAGCACAAGAACAACUUCUUGUACUAAUCAAAAUAACCAUCUAGCAAUGGUACCCGACAUCCAGAUAGGCCGAAUGAUAGCAAAGCAAUAUUCAAGAAUCCUUGGACUAUGGUUACCGUAUAAUUUAUCCCUAUGACUCCUAAAUGCCAGGAUGACUUCAGAGUUCUGUCAACUCUGUAAUAAGUGCAACCAUGAUGUGAUUCAACUUUAGAAAUCCUGUGACUCCUCAUAAGGAUUAUCCUGGCCAAGGUUUUGCUAAAUUGAACACAAGGUAUUAUCUCCUGUUUCCAGGAGGGGUCAAUUCUAUCUUGACUCACAACUGACUACGCAAGUAAUUGACUGUACCCAAUGACCUUCCGUCACUGAAUUAGAAAUUCAGAUAGUCCGAUACCAAAGUAUAGUGAGUUGCUUGCUAGUCACAGGUUGCGGUCUCAGGUCAGAGGGCCAAACUUAUACCCAUAUCCACUC
rnacentral:lncRNA from 1 species